GAUGAACGCUGGCGGCGUGCCUAAUACAUGCAAGUCGAGCGAACAGACGAGGAGCUUGCUCCUCUGACGUUAGCGGCGGACCGGUGAGUAACACGUGGAUAACCUAUCUAUAAGACUGGGAUAACUUCGGGAAACCGGAGCUAAUACCGGAUAAUAUAUUGAACCGCAUGGUUCAAUAGUGAACGACGGUUUUGCUGUCACUUAUACAUGGACCCGCGCCGCAUUAGCUAGUUGGUACGGUAACGGCUUACCAAGGCAACGAUGCGUAGCCGACCUGAGAGGGUGACAGGCCAAACUGGAACGAGGAAAGGGUCCAACCUCCUACGGGAGGCAGCAGGAGGGAAUCUUCCGCAAGGGGCGAAAGCCUAACGGAGCAACGCCGCGUGGGUGAUGAAGGUCUUCGGAUCGUAAAACUCUGUUGUUAGGGAAGAACAAAGGUGUAAGUAACUAUGCUCGUCUUGACGGUACCUAAUCAGAAAGCCACGGCUAACUACGU
rnacentral:rRNA from 1 species